UACGGGGGGUGCGAGCGUUGUCCGGAAUCACUGGGCGUAAAGGGCGCGUAGGUGGUUUGAUAAGGGUGUGGUGAAAGUCCGGGGCUCAACCCCGGAUCUGCCGUGCCGACUGUCAAACUCGAGGGCUGUAGAGGCAGACGGAAUUCCGGGUGUAGCGGUGGAAUGCGUAGAGAUCCGGAGGAAGACCGGUGGCGAAGGCGGCAUCCGUGGACCAAUUCUGACGCUGAGGAGCGAAAGCCAGGGGAGCAAACGGG
rnacentral:rRNA from 1 species